AAGGUUUAUAGCCCCUUUCUUGACCAAAAGAAAGCU
rnacentral:rRNA from 1 species